rnacentral:rRNA from 1 species
GGAUAGAGGCCUACCAUGGUGGUAACGGGUAACGGGGUGUUAGGGCACGACACCGGAGAGGGAGCCUGAGAAACGGCUACCACAUCCAAGGAUGGCAGCAGGCGCGCAAAUUACCCAAUCCCGACACGGGGAGGUAGUGACAAUAAAUAACAAUACGGGGUUCUUUCGGAUCUCGUAAUUGGAAUGAGUACAAUUUAAAUCUCUUAACGAGGAACAAUUGGAGGGCAAGUCUGGUGCCAGCAGCCGCGGUAAUUCCAGCUCCAAUAGCGUAUAUUAAAGUUGCUGCAGUUAAAAAGCUCGUAGUUGAAUUUCGGGGUUAGUAGGUUGGUCAUGCCUCUGGUAUGUACUGAUCUCACUGAUUCCUCCUUCCUUAUGAACCGUAAUGCCAUUAAUUUGGUGUUGCGGGGAAUUUGGACUGUUACUUUGAAAAAAUUAGAGCGUUUAAAGCAGGCUAACGCUUGAAUACAUUAGCAUGGAAUAAUGAAAUAGGACGUUCGAUCUUAUUUUGUUGGUUUCUAGGAUUGACGUAAUGAUUAAUAGGGAUAGUUGGGGGCAUUAGUAUUCAAUUGUCAGAGGUGAAAUUCUUGGAUUUAUUGAAGACUAACUACUGCGAAAGCAUUUGCCAAGGAUGUUUUCAUUAAUCAAGAACGAAAGUUAGGGGAUCGAAGACGAUCAGAUACCGUCGUAGUCUUAACCAUAAACUAUGCCGACUAGGGAUCGGA